rnacentral:rRNA from 1 species
GACGAACGCUGGCGGCGUGCUUAACACAUGCAAGUCGAACGAUGAAGCUGGAGCUUGCUCCGGUGGAUUAGUGGCGAACGGGUGAGUAACACGUGAGCAAUCUGCCCUUGACUCUGGGAUAACUGCGGGAAACUGUAGCUAAUACCGGAUACGAGGCUCGAAGGCAUCUUCGGGUCUGGAAAGAAUUUCGGUCAAGGAUGAGCUCGCGGCCUAUCAGCUUGUUGGUGAGGUAAUGGCUCACCAAGGCGACGACGGGUAGCCGGGCUGAGAGGGUGACCGGCCACAAUGGGACUGAGACACGGCACAGACUCCUACGGGAGGCAGCAGUGGGGAAUAUUGCACAAUGGGCGAAAGCCUGAUGCAGCAACGCCGCGUGAGGGAUGAAGGCCUUCGGGUUGUAAACCUCUUUUAGCAGGGAAGAAGCGAAAGUGACGGUACCUGCAGAAAAAGCACCGGCUAACUACGUGCCAGCCGCCGCAGUAAAAC